GCUCCUCUUGUGUUUUUACCCUUCCGUCACGUUUCCGUCUAGUUAGUGUCGUUUGACUGUGUGUUGACCGUCUUUGGACUUUUCUCUGGACCUUUUUCCCCUGCUUCCUCACUCUCUCACGAGACACUGCCAAGUAGGGCCCAUCACUGUGAAAACCAUUCCAGAUCUUCUCUGCCUUCUCUCCCGCUGGUCAGAACCUAGCCCGAGAUCCCCUCCCCCAUCACUCAAAUCUUAUCCUUUAGUCCUCCACCUCCAUGGUUCUGCGCAAGGUCACAUCACCACUAGCGAUGUCGACAUUCCCGUCGGUGGCCACCAGCCCCGGCCUCGACCCGAUCUGGAUCGGAAGACUCCACUGCCGCCAUCGUUUGACUUCACCGGAGCAGCAUCGGACCACCCUCUUCUCUUCACAGUUGCUUUUCUCCUCCUUCCCUUUUACUUCUCCUCUCUAAUCCCUUUCCCUCUCUUCGUUCACGUGUCUACAGAUCGAUCCAUGGCUGCCCAACGCCAUGAAACCAACCUCGCGCCUGUGGAUCUCAUCUUGCCGUGAAACUCGUUGUUGGUGAGACCCGCAGGAGAACACCAUGGCCAUGGCGCCAAGAGCCCCAGAUCUAACUCUGUUCCGCCGCGGGACCUGCAUGCCUCGCUGCCCCAUCUCCAUUUUCCCGCGAAUCCGGCGAGAUCUGCCAUGGAAUCGUCACCAAUAGCGCCAACAAGCUCAUUCUCCUUCUCUCCUCCGACAAGGAGGAUUUGGUCAGCUCCGGCUACAAAUCCUUUGGCUCCGACAAGCUCAUCCUUGUACUAUAGAGGCAACAUCUAAUUGUUGACCCAUUGUAUUCUUUUAACACUUGCCCCAAUGUAAUUAGCUAGUAUAUUUAAUUAGUUUGUGGUGUGUUAAUUAUUGCAUCGAAAAGUUAUGCAGAAUUUA